rnacentral:rRNA from 1 species
AUGACCCCUCAGUCGGAGCCCAUCCACUUCACCCUGCAGCCAUCCUCGUACGAGAUCUUCACAUUUGCUCCGGUGGCAGGAGGCGCCUCCCACUUUGCGCCGGUCGGUGUGGUUGACAUGCUCAACUGCGGUGGCACCAUUGCUGAUGUGGUUGUCGGCGGCGAUGGUGGCGCGGAGGUGAUGGUGAAGGUGAAGGGGGCGGGGCGGCUGGUGGUCUAG